rnacentral:tRNA from 1 species
GCCGGGUGGCGGAACAGCAGACGCACAGGACUUAAAAUCCUGGCGGUGGAGUGACCACCGUGCGGGUUCGACCCCCCUCGGCACCA